UACGUAGGUGGCAAGCGUUGUCCGGAAUUACUGGGUGUAAAGGGAGCGUAGGCGGGAAGCCAAGUUGGGUGUGAAAUGCCGCAGCUUAACUGCGGAGCUGCACCCAAAACUGGUUUUCUUGAGUGAUGUAGAGGCAGGCGGAAUUCUUAGUGUAGCGGUGAAAUGCGUAGAUAUGACAUAGAACACCGAUAGCGGAGGCAGCUUGCUACACAGUCAUUGACACUGAGGCACGAAAGCGUGGGGAUCAAACAGG
rnacentral:rRNA from 1 species